rnacentral:lncRNA from 1 species
AUGAGGCCUCUGGAGAUUGGCUUGACUUUCUUGUGGCUCACUCCAAUGGACAGAUUAUCACAACUGCCCAGCCCCAGCCCUGAUGUCUCUGGAAUUUGGCUUGACUUUCCCAUGCCUCCCCCAUCCAGAUUGGCUGCAAGUCUAAUGAAGACCCAAAUGGUAUUGGAUAGGAUAUGUAAGGACCUUCUUCUGGUGGGAGAGACAGAUCCCAGAGGAUCCAGGUACCUGGAGAAGACUGUCCGAACCACUGAGCCAUGAAAAUAUCUUCAAGAAAGAAGCUUGAAAUUCCUAAAUCCAGAGAAUGAAUUGUUGCAGAAAAAUACCGGAAAACCUACACUUCAUCAAGAAGAAUCAGAAUGAAACUUGGGUAUGAUUGAUUGAACUGAACUUUGAUUGAACAUUUAUUAUAAAUGUACACAUUUAUGCCAAAAGGGACUGCCCUUAAUUUGGCUUUCUGUCAAUGCGCCUAGCAAAACAUUGGUUUUGCUUUCUUUUCUAUUUCCUCCCUCACUAUUCUAAUUUCUCUUAAAAAUUGAAUGUUGUGUAUAUCUAUAGUUAGAAGUGCAUUUAGAACUACAAAUUGAUUAUGUUAAAUGACCAAUGGGGAGACUAGUCUCCCAAUGAUCAUCAGGGGGGAUUGUGAAUUUUGAAAUUUCUC